UACAGAGGUCCCAAGCGUUGUUCGGAUUCACUGGGCGUAAAGCGCAUGUAGGCGGUUCGAUAAGUCCGCUGUUAAAGCCCCCGGCUCAACUGGGGGAGGUCAGUGGAGACUAUAGGACUUGAGGGCAACAGAGGCACGUGGAACUCCCGGUGUAGCGGUGGAAUGCGUAGAGAUCGGGAAGAACACCAGUGGCGAAGGCGACGUGCUGGGUUGCGACUGACGCUGAGAUGCGAAAGUGUGGGGAGCAAACGGG
rnacentral:rRNA from 1 species